CGACCGGCGCACGGGUGAGUAACACGUAUCCAACCUGCCGUCUACUCUUGGCCAGCCUUCUGAAAGGAAGAUUAAUCCAGGAUGGGGUCAUGAGUUCACAUGUCCGCAUGAUUAAAGGUAUUUUCCGGUAGACGAUGGGGAUGCGUUCCAUUAGAUAGUAGGCGGGGUAACGGCCCACCUAGUCAACGAUGGAUAGGGGUUCUGAGAGGAAGGUCCCCCACAUUGGAACUGAGACACGGUCCAA
rnacentral:rRNA from 1 species